AGGGUUUGAUCCUGGCUCAGAACGUACGCUGGCGGCACGCCUAAUACAUGCAAGUCGAACGAAGUAGCAAUACUUAGUGGCAGACGGGUGAGUAACAUGUGGGUAUCUUCCCUUUGGUGAGGAAUAACACGAGGAAACUUGUGCUAAUACCUCAUAAGUCUUUACAGAGAAAGCUUUAUGCGCCAUUGGAUGAGCCUGCACUUGAUUAGUUUGUUGGUGGGGUAAUGGCCUACCAAGACAAUGAUCAAUAGCUGAUUUGAGAGGAUGAUCAGCCACAUUGGGACUGAGACACGGCCCAAACUCCUACGGGAGGCAGCAGUAGGGAAUCUUGCACAAUGGAGGAAACUCUGAUGCAGCGAUGCCGCGUGAGUGAAGAAGGCCUUUGGGUUGUAAAGCUCUUUCGUCGGGGAAGAAAAUGACUGUACCCGAAUAAGAAGGUCCGGCUAACUUCGUGCCAGCAGCCGCGGUAAUACGAAGGGACCUAGCGUA
rnacentral:rRNA from 1 species